rnacentral:rRNA from 1 species
GAUGAACGCUGGCGGCGUGCCUAAUACAUGCAAGUCGAGCGAACAGACGAGGAGCUUGCUCCUCUGACGUUAGCGGCGGACGGGUGAGUAACACGUGGAUAACCUACCUAUAAGACUGGGAUAAAUUCGGGAAACCGGAGCUAAUACCGGAUAAUAUAGUGAACCGCAUGGUUCAAUAGUGAAAGACGGUUUUGCUGUCACUUAUAGAUGGAUCCGCGCCGCAUUAGCUAGUUGGUAAGGUAACGGCUUACCAAGGCGACGAUGCGUAGCCGACGUGAGAGGGUGAUCGGCCACACUGGAACUGAGACACGGUCCAGACUCCUACGGGAGGCACCAGUAGCGAAUCUUCCGCAAUGUGCGAAAGCCUGACGGAGCAACGCCGCGUGAGUGAUGAAGGUCUUCGGAUCGUAAAACUCUGUUAUUAGGGAAGAACAAAUGUGUAAGUAACUAUGCACGUCUUGACGGUACCUAAUCAGAAAGCCACGGCUAACUACGUG